AUGAACGCUGGCGGCGUGCCUAAUACAUGCCAGUCGCGCGAACAGAUAAGGAGCUUGCUCCUUUGACGUUAGCGGCGGACGGGUGAGUAACACGUGGGUAACCUACCUAUAAGACUGGAAUAACUCCGGGAAACCGGGGCUAAUGCCGGAUAACAUUUAGAACCGCAUGGUUCUAAAGUGAAAGAUGGUUUUGCUAUCACUUAUAGAUGGACCCGCGCCGUAUUAGCUAGUUGGUAAGGUAACGGCUUACCAAGGCAACGAUACGUAGCCGACCUGAGAGGGUGAUCGGCCACACUGGAACUGAGACACGGUCCAGACUCCUACGGGAGGCAGCAGUAGGGAAUCUUCCGCAAUGGGCGAAAGCCUGACGGAGCAACGCCGCGUGAGUGAUGAAGGUCUUCGGAUCGUAAAACUCUGUUAUUAGGGAAGAACAAAUGUGUAAGUAACUGUGCACGUCUUGACGGUACCUGAUCAGAAAGCCACGGCUAACUACGUG
rnacentral:rRNA from 1 species